rnacentral:rRNA from 1 species
AUUGAACGCUGGCGGCAUGCUUUACACAUGCAAGUCGAACGGUAACAGGCCGCAAGGUGCUGACGAGUGGCGAACGGGUGAGUAAUGCAUCGGAACGUGCCCAGUCGUGGGGGUUAACUACUCGAAAGAGUAGCUAAUACCGCAUCCGAUCUAUGGAUGAAAGCGGGGGACCGUAAGGCCUCGCGCGAUUGGAGCGGCCGAUGUCAGAUUAGGUAGUUGGUGGGGUAAAGGCUCACCAAGCCAACGAUCUGUAGCUGGUCUGAGAGGACGACCAGCCACACUGGGACUGAGACACGGCCCAGACUCCUACGGGAGGCAGCAGUGGGGAAUUUUGGACAAUGGGCGCAAGCCUGAUCCAGCAAUGCCGCGUGCAGGAAGAAGGCCUUCGGGUUGUAAACUGCUUUUGUACGGAACGAAACGGCUCUGGUUAAUACCCGGGGCUAAUGACGGUACCGUAAGAAUAAGCACCGGCUAACUACGUG